AAAGUGAGGGGGGGGGGCCCCGGGGUGACCCCUGUGCCCCCCCCCAGGCUACACCAACCCCUUCGUGACCCCCCGACCCUCCACCAACCCCUUCCAGAGCAACGGCCCCGGUGCCGCUUUCACCACCCCGUCGGUGCCCGGGGGGUUUCCCAGCCCCUUCCAGGCUGAUGCGUCGCCUUUUGGUGGGUUCAACGUUCCCAAAGCCUCCACCAACCCCUUCGUGACGGCCCCGACGGCCCCGUUGGGCAUCAGGCACCCGACCACCAACCCCUUCCUAUAGCGGCCGCCCCGGGGCGGGGGAGCUCGGCCCGGGCCUCCCCCGAAAUCGUGGGGGGCUCCCCUCCCCACCCCUGCCUCCGCCUCCGCCAGGACCAGGUUUUAUUUUUAAUUUUGAGAGAUUUAUGGCGAGAGAUCUUAAUAUAUAUUGGAUAGAAACA